rnacentral:rRNA from 1 species
UUGAACGCUGGCGGCAGGCCUCACACAUGCAAGUCGCGCGGAUGAAGGGAGCUUGCUCCUGGAUUCAGCGGCGGACGGGUGAGUAAUGCCUAGGAAUCUGCCUGGUAGUGGGGGAUAACGUCCGGAAACGGGCGCUAAUACCGCAUACGUCCUGAGGGAGAAAGUGGGGGAUCUUCGGACCUCACGCUAUCAGAUGAGCCUAGGUCGGAUUAGCUAGUUGGUGGGGUAAAGGCCUACCAAGGCGACGAUCCGUAACUGGACUGAGAGGAUGAUCAGUCACACUGGAACUGAGACACGGUCCAGACUCCUACGGGAGGCAGCAGUGGGGAAUAUUGGACAAUGGGCGAAAGCCUGAUCCAGCCAUGCCGCGUGUGUGAAGAAGGUCUUCGGAUUGUAAAGCACUUUAAGUUGGGAGGAAGGGCAGUAAGUUAAUACCUUGCUGUUUUGACGUUACCAACAGAAUAAGCACCGGCUAACUUCGUG